UGGGGAAUUUUCCGCAAUGGGCGAAAGCCUGACGGAGCAAUACCGCGUGAGGGAGGAAGGCUCUUGGGUUGUAAACCUCUUUUCUCAGGGAAGAAAAAAAUGACGGUACCAGAGGAAUAAGCACCGGCUAACUACGAG
rnacentral:rRNA from 1 species